rnacentral:rRNA from 1 species
GACCGGCUUCUAACUGUCUGCAAGGACAAAUUUGACCAAUCUUGACCUCAAAUCAGGUAGGGA